rnacentral:rRNA from 1 species
GGACUACUGGGGUAUCUAAUCCUGUUUGAUCCCCACGCUUUCGUGCCUCAGCGUCAAUAUUUGCGUAGUGAGCUGCCUUCGCAAUUGGUGUUCCAUGUCAUAUCUAAGCAUUUCACCGCUACAUGACAUAUUCCGCUCACCUCCACAAUAUUCAAGAUAAAUAGUAUCAACGGCAGUUUCCGAGUUAAGCUCGAAGAUUUCACCACUGACUUUCCUAUCCGCCUACGCACCCUUUAAACCCAGUGAAUCCGGAUAACGCUUGCACCCUCCGUAUUACCGCGGCUGCUGGCAC